AUUGAACGCUGGCGGCAUGCUUUACACAUGCAAGUCGAACGGUAACAGGCCUUCGGGUGCUGCCGAGUGGCGAACGGGUGCGUAAUGCAUCGGAACGUACCCAGAGGUGGGGGAUAACGCAGCGAAAGCUGUGCUAAUACCGCAUGUGAUCUGAGGAUGAAAGCGGGGGACCGAGCAGCAAUGUUUGGCCUCGCGCCUUUGGAGCUGCCGAUGUCGGAUUAGCUAGUUGGUGGGGUAAAGGCCUACCAAGGCGACGAUCCGUAGCUGGUCUGAGAGGACGACAAGCCACACUGGGACUGAGACACGGCCCAGACUCCUACGGGAGGCAGCAGUGGGGAAUUUUGGACAAAGGGCGCAAGCCUGAUCCAGCAAUGCCGCGUGCGGGAAGAAGGCCUUCGGGUUGUAAACCGCUUUUGGCAGGAACGAAACGGUGUCCGCUAAUACCGGGCGCUAAUGACGGUACCUGCAGAAUAAGCACCGGCUAACUACGUG
rnacentral:rRNA from 1 species